AGACAGCUAUGAGCGCUCAGGAAUUAGCCAUAUGAUCCAUUUCAGUUUUAAUAUCUGCUCCAAAACUAACAGAGAAGGAAGCAAAGGCAGGAAGGGCAACCUUGGCAGGAGCUGGACCAGACUCCAGUGUUGUUCCCACAGAAGGGGAACAACUGAAGACCCAUCAGAUUUAGAGCAAAAUGUAUGGUUUUUUUUCUCUGCUUGGCUUACCCUCAAAUAACUUCUUUCACACACAAAUAAGGUAUAUACACCCCUAUAAAUCUAACACCUCAGACAAGCUUUUUUUUUCCCUAAAUUUCUGCACUUGUGCCUUUCAGUGGGACUGCCACAUAUUUACAUUGAUUAGGUGAAGAAGUGAAAUGACAUGGCAGUGUAAAAGCCAGUGGUACACACAAUCUAACACAGAAAACAGAUGCCCUUAAAUGCAUAAACAAUACAGUGAUGAUACAGUAUGGCAUGUGGAGACACUGGCAUACAGCCAGUGAGCAUAAUGCUCAUAAUUUGAGAUUUUAGAGCUUAACUUUGAUUACUUGGUAAGAUAAGAGCAAAUAUGAGCAGUAAAUAUCAAUAUUAUCAAGCUAUAGAACUAAACUUUAAAAUGUACUUAAGAACAGCCUUUUUAAGAUUAAAUUUCAGUUUCCUUUCAUUUGGCAAUAACUAAUAUUUCAUAUUCUUUACAUUUUUUAGCGACUCUUUAAAUUGACACAACUACACUGCAGUAAGAAAUGCCCUCAGUUUUCCAACUAUCUGGAGAACAAAGAAGAACUCUUUGUUCUCUUCAUUAAAGAAGAACAGUAGAGAAAAACUCUUCAUCUCUUCAUUAAAGAAAUUAACACUAUCUGAAAGGUCUGUGCAAGGACAGCAGGGCACCAGCAGAGCUGAUGUGCUAUUGGAUUUCCUGCCAGAAUGAUGGAAAGACACCCAGCUUUAGGAACUAAAGGUCAAAAUAAAAAACAUCACAGAAGUUUUUUGAGCUCAACCAGAACAUGAACACACAUGCUGUCUUGCUGAAGCUCUCAGUAUAUGAACUGAAAAUACAACCCUUACUAGAGUAUCUUCCCCUCAGAGGAAAAGUUUAAGAGUAUUUUUACAGAAGGAACAACGUUUUUUAUAAAUGCUAUACAUCAUGCUGCUGUUCUAGCUCACUGUACUUACAAGUGCUGUAUGCAGGCUCACACUGAAGUGACAAUAUCUGGAUCUUCUCUUCGUCUGUCUCUACACUGAGGUUGGACAGGUACUGCUUCACCUUCCUGGCCAUCUGGGCAUCCUCGUAGAGCUUCUUGGCGUUCAGCAGCGAGCUGCGGCGGGCGCGCUUCUUGUGAGCGCCUCCCUGCACGUCCAGCAUG